UCCCGACAGUGACUCAGUGAACUCCGU
rnacentral:piRNA from 1 species